GAAUUGCAGAAUUCCGCGAAUCAUCGAGUUUUUGAACGCAAGUUGCGCCCGAGGCUCGUACCGAGGGCAUGCCUGUCUGAGCGUCCA
rnacentral:rRNA from 2 species